AUGCUCACUUCGGCAGCACAUGUACUAAAAUUGGAACGAUAUAGAGAAUAUUAGCAUGGCCCUUGUGCAAGGAUGACACACAAAUUUAUGAAGUGUUACGUAUUUUU
ensembl:snRNA U6 U6 spliceosomal RNA